rnacentral:rRNA from 1 species
UACAGAGGUCUCAAGCGUUGUUCGGAUUCAUUGGGCGUAAAGGGCGCGUAGGCGGCCUGGCAAGUGGAUGGUGAAAUCCCUCGGCUUAACCGAGGAACUGCCGUCCAAACUGCUUGGCUUGAGACCGGGAGAGGUGAGUGGAAUUCCCAGUGUAGCGGUGAAAUGCGUAGAUAUUGGGAGGAACACCAGUGGCGAAGGCGGCUCACUGGACCGGUACUGACGCUGAUGCGCGAAAGCGUGGGGAGCAAACGGG